GAUGAACGCUGGCGGCGUGCCUAAUACAUGCAAGUCGAGCGAACAGACGAGGAGCUUGCUCCUCUGACGUUAGCGGCGGACGGGUGAGUAACACGUGGAUAACCUACCUAUAAGACUGGGAUAACUUCGGGAAACCGGAGCUAAUACCGGAUAAUAUAUUGAACCGCAUGGUUCAAUAGUGAAAGACGGUUUUGCUGUCACUUAUAGAUGGAUCCGCGCCGCAUUAGCUAGUUGGUAAGGUAACGGCUUACCAAGGCAACGAUGCGUAGCCGACCUGAGAGGCUGAUCGGCGACACUGGAACGGAGACACGGUCCAGACUCCUACGGGAGGCAGCAGUAGGGAAUCUUCCGCAAUGGGCGAAAGCCUGACGGAGCAACGCCGAGUGAGUGAUGAAGGUCUUCGGAUCGUAAAACUCUGUUAUUAGGGAAGAACAAAUGUGUAAGUAAAUAUGCACGUCUUGACGGUACCUAAUCAGAAAGCCACGGCUAACUACGUG
rnacentral:rRNA from 1 species